CCUACGGGUGGCUGCAGUGGGGAAUAUUGGACAAUGGGCGAAAGCCUGAUCCAGCCAUGCCGCGUGUGUGAAGAAGGCCUUCGGGUUGUAAAGCACUUUCAGUGGGGAAGAAAGCCUUGGGGCUAAUACCCUCGAGGAAGGACAUCACCCACAGAAGAAGCACCGGCUAACUCCGUGCCAGCAGCCGCGGUAAUACGGAGGGUGCGAGCGUUAAUCGGAAUUACUGGGCGUAAAGCGCGCGUAGGCGGUCUGAUAAGCCGGUUGUGAAAGCCCCGGGCUCAACCUGGGAACGGCAUCCGGAACUGUCAGGCUAGAGUGCAGGAGAGGAAGGUAGAAUUCCCGGUGUAGCGGUGAAAUGCGUAGAGAUCGGGAGGAAUACCAGUGGCGAGGGCGGCCUUCUGGACUGACACUGACGCUGAGGUGCGAAAGCGUGGGUAGCAAACAGGAUUAGAUACCCUUGUAGUC
rnacentral:rRNA from 1 species